rnacentral:rRNA from 1 species
GUCCACGCCCUAAACGAUGAUGACUAGUUGUUGGGGGAGUUAAAUCCCUUAGUAACGCAGCUAACGCGUGAAGUCAUCCGCCUGGGGAGUACGGUCGCAAGAUUAAAACUCAAAGGAAUUGACGGGGGCCCGCACAAGCGGUGGAUGAUGUGGUUUAAUUCGACGCAACGCGAAAAACCUUACCUACCCUUGACAUGUACGGAAUCCUGCAGAGAUGCAGGAGUGCCCGAAAGGGAACCGUAACACAGGUGCUGCAUGGCUGUCGU